AUUGAACGCUGGCGGAAUGCUUUACACAUGCAAGUCGAGCGGCAGCACGGGGGCAACCCUGGUGGCGAGCGGCGAACGGGUGAGUAAUACAUCGAAACAUGCCCAGUCGUGGGGGAUAACACUUCGAAAGAAGUGCUAAUACCGCAUACGUCCUGAGGGAGAAAGCGGGGGAUCGCAAGACCUCGCGCGAUUGGAGUGGCCGAUGUCAGGUUAGCUAGUUGGUGGGGUAAAGGCCUACCAAGGCAACGAUCUGUAGCUGGUCUGAGAGGAUGAUCAGCCACACUGGGACUGAGACACGGCCCAGACUCCUACGGGAGGCAGCAGUGGGGAAUUUUGGACAAUGGGGGCAACCCUGAUCCAGCCAUUCCGCGUGAGUGAAGAAGGCCUUCGGGUUGUAAAGCUCUUUCGGCAGGAACGAAACGGCGAGCUCUAACAUAGCUUGCUAAUGACGGUACCUGAAGAAGAAGCACCGGCUAACUACGUG
rnacentral:rRNA from 1 species